CGGUGAGUUCGAUACAAUUGGCAUUACUAAAAUGAGUUAAGAACUUCGAGUUGCACCCUUGAAGAUCAUAGUUGUUUUCUGAUCUUGCUGUCAAAUUGAUGGAACGGUCAAUAAAACUCAAUUUGAUACAAUUUGACUAAGAAGUCAACAGACCAAAAUUACGGAUCUAAAAUUUGGCGCGUUGAAGUUCCCUGUUUUCUAUCAGUGAGGAUUAAAAUUUAAACGAGAAGAUAGAAUUUUCUUCACUUGCAGGAUGGGGCACAAACAUAGUCAAUUUGAAUCAAUGAACCCAUGUUCAUGACACAAGACAACAAGAAAACAAGCAGAAAUCAUAGCAUGGCUUCAAAUAGUAUUCCAAUCUCCAAUAGACAAUGGGGUGGGUUAUGGGUCACAACCAACAAUUGUUAACAACCACAGUGUAUAACCCAACCUUUUUAUGUAUAUACAGGCCACAAAAUCAAGAAAAAACGGCAAUUUCGCAUCAAAGUAUGAAUACCAAGAAACAUGGUACAUCAGCAUGGGAAGAAUCAAUAUGAAGUACAGCAAAUUCAGGCUUCACUUCUUUUUUUUUUUUUUUUUUUUGUAAUUUCAUAAUUCACGAAUUAUUAAAAAAAAUUAAAAAACUUAAGAAAAGAAAAUACAACAGCUACACAUACAUCAACGGAAUGGUGGUGAAAUAUAUAAUAUAUAAAAAACAAUGGAGCAUCCCAUACCUAGUUCAGAAUAUAAUCAAAGCUCUCUGUGUGAAUGAGAGAGGGCUCUAUUGCUGCUGCUUCUGCGGGCUCUGCUACUGCUGCUUCUGCAUGAGGGAGAGCGAGAGGGUUGGGUUGUGAAGAAAGAGAGAGGGGCUUCUGCAUUAGAGAUAAAAUAUGUGAGGAGAGAAU
rnacentral:lncRNA from 1 species